rnacentral:lncRNA from 1 species
CAGCAUAACAGAUUUUUGUAUCACUUUAUUAUUCCCUGAUUUUUGGUUAUGGCAUACUCAUAAAGGUCUUGUUUGUUCGGAAGAAGUGGAAUGGGACAGAAUAAAAGUUUAUUUGAAAUAUUUAUUUGGACGUUCUUUCAUAGUAUUCAUUUUUCGGUCCAUUCUCCGCAACACCAAAACUAAAACCUUUGUGAUCUCUGUUUAUAUGUAUAUAUCAUGUGCAGGUCGACUUUACACCGCGUGUUAAGGACUAAACAAGAUCGAUAUUCUGUAAGUACUUUGUAGAGUUCUUAAAUGAAAUUUCUGGGAUCUAAGGCUAUCCUGUAGAUGCUUAUCUUACAAUGCUGCAUUAACUCUAAAUAAAUAGUCUAGCUUGAGUCUCUUUGCAUUGUAAGAUUUCCAAUAUUCACUCUUUAUAUUAUUGUCAAAAACUUGUAUGAUGGCUAGAAUUCAACAUUUCCAUACUCUGUUUGCUCCAAUUGUUUCGUUCUCUUCACAUGUUGGCAAGCCGCUUUAUUUAUUCACUUUCACGUAUUUUUCUCCUAGUUCAACAUUGCUAAAUCAUCAACAGAAACAAAGUUACGGUUUCUCAUCACUAUAUUCUUGUUUGCAGAUCGCUUUUUUUGUUGAGCCAAGGGAGGACUGUCUAGUCGAAUGUUUGCCAACUUGCCGGUCAGAAGAGAACCCUCCCAAGUAAGAACAACUUUUCAAUUGAGAAUUUCAUAUCCGGAUUUUGAGAGUUCUGUUGGAACACAUUUAUUCGCUCUUUGCAUAAAUGAAAGUAUGUGAUAGGCGAAUGCAGUUCAGCAAUUUAUACACAGUACUAAAUUAUAACUUGAACAGAAUUCUCAAGUUUAUAACAUUGUUUAUUACUAUGUAGGACUAAUUAAUUAACUGUUUUCCAAUUGGUUAGGUAUCCACCCAUCGAAUGUGAGGCUUAUCUUCUCCAGCGAUACAGGGAUACUCAAGCUGACCCAAGCUCAUACAAAAUAGUAUGAAUUAGCUACCUAACUGGAAGCACCAUGAACCACCGGAUCUUCUGGCCUAAUUUCAUUUCCAGAAUUAUUAGCCGAAAUUUAUUGUUAGCUCAAGCUUAACCUUUUUUUUAUUUAUAAUUAUUUCAGACAUUUGAAUCAAACAUACGCUACAAAAUGCAACAAGAGAAGGAUCAUGACCAAUUGAAAAUAAUUUAAACGGUGUAAAUGUUACUCGUUAGACAAGUAACACUAGCAAAAACUAAUAUCUUUAAAUUUUUUCAAACAAAAUAUGGCAUGAAGCAGUAAUUCAAACAAUUAACAAAAUGGCAUUCCCAGUCUUUGGCAAGAAUAGUACCCAAUUUCCAAUGUUACUAAUAAUUCCACGCUCAGGGGUGCAAUUAUAUAUACCCAAUUUUGCAAUAACGAAUGGCAUUUUUUCCAUGACAACAGCAGGGAUACAGGAAUAAAGAUUUCAGUUAAAUAGGGGCACAAACAUGUUCAUGUACAUGUAGUCCCAGAUUAUAAACUCUCAGCGUGCAUCUUAGCAAUGCAAGUAUGGUACUGGUAAAUUUUUGAUAUUAUCAUCUUCACCAACCCAUAAAACGAACUCACAAGAACUUGGAGGAAAAAUGUUACUCUCUCCGUCCCUUUUUAGUAGUCAAAAUUCGUUUUGUACCGGUCAAAUUGACCAAAAUUUGAUUAAAAUUUAUAAAUAUCUUAUCAAUUGAAAAAAUAAAAAAAAAAUAUGUCACCGGAAAUAAUUUUUAAUCUAUUUUAAAAUGUAAUUUUCUGUUUUUUAAAAUAAUUAAAGAGUGACUUGUGAUUUUUUGUCAAAAUUUAGUCAAUUUGACCAACAAAAAUAGAAAUGUGACAACUAAAAAACGACGGAGGGAGUACUAUUUCAGCUUUAAAGAAAACUUUUCGAUCAAAUAGUGCUUGUAAUUAAUUGUAUGAUAUAUAUAAAUUAUGUAUUAUUGUUAUAAAAUUGUGUGAAUUUUUAAAAGUGGAAAUCUAAUCUGAAAUUUGAAACAGAAAGGAGUAAUAUUAUAUUAAUUAUUUGAUUUGAUUUGAUUAGGAUUUAUAAAAGCGUUAAGGUUUAUUAAGCACCAUAAAGAGGAAGAGAAAGUGGUUGAAUGGAAAAUACGAGAUAAAGAUAUUAAAGUAAUCUGUGAUUAAUCCACAAAGUAGUAAAAUUUCACGUCUUUUAGCAAUCAUGUUUUGUCAUUGUCUCGUGUGUAAAUUUUGGUCCUUCGAUAACAAUUAAACGGUAGACUGUCAUUUCGUAUCGACUUCAUUGAUGAUUCCAAUUUCCAGUAGUCCAGGGUAUAAGAAGCUCCGGUACAAAAUUAUUAUAAGCAACCAUAUAUAGAGAAAUAAAAUAAAUGAUGAACUCCGUUGAGCUCAAUUGUAUUGAUCUCUGCGGCCCUGAUAUUCAAAACUCUGUUUCUUUGCUCAAACAGGUAGCCCCAGAACUAUACUUCCAUACAUACUUGUGUGAGUGUCUAAUGAUUUGAACUUUUUUUUGAAGUUAUUGUUCAGUUGGGUCUUGUUUAGUUGCUUCAAGAUUAUAAUAUUCUUGUUGUUUUGUGAAUCUUGAAAUUUUGGGUUUGCGUAAAAAGAUUGGACUAAUUUGUAUGUGUUUUUCCUAAAUAUGUAAUUUUUGGAUACCCUUUAGUUGAUUGGUUGGUGAAGUUGUCAACUUUAAAAAAAUUGGAGUGAUCACACAAAUUUUUGAUUGAUUCUUGGUUACUAGGCUUGCUUGGAUUGUGGGUUUUUUUAUGUUAUCAAUCAUGGAAUCAGCCAAGAAUAUAUGGAUGAGGUUUUUGCACAAAGCAAGAAGUUUUUCGACCUCCCGAUUGAGGAGAAAAUGAAGGUUAUAAAGAAUGAGAAACAUCGUGGGUAUACUCCAAUUCUGGAUUCAUAUCUUGAUCCUGUCAAUCAAAUUAAUGGUUUGUUAUUCUACAACCUGUUCUAGUUUUUAGUUUGUAACAUUUAUUGCAUUAUAUUCGAAGUAUACAGUGUCCUUAAAGUGAGAAUUUGAACCCAUGACUUGUUGAUGGAAGAAGAGGGAAAGGAACCUUGCCACUAAGCCAUUAACUAAUUAUGUUUAUGGUUGAAUAAGAGUUCAUAUAAGAAAUUUUUGUAGCAUGAUUGGUUGCCCUUUGCAGAAUUAUUUUCAAAUGUUCUUGUUAAUGGGAUUUAUGAAAAAUUACCCAGGAAUAUUCAUUCACUUGACAAGAUUGCAUAUUUAGCAAAUGCGGUGUCCAAUACAAACCUAAUGGUCUUUUAAUUCAGCAAAGAAAGAAGCAGCUAAUAAUCUUUUACUUAUCCAAAAGAUACUAGCAUGUAACAAUAUGAUGUUUGCAAUAGAAAAUUAAUGCAUUACAAAGAUAUUGUACAUAUUUAUUUGCCUUCUACAGGUGACUACAAAGAGGGUUAUUACAUUGGUGUUGAAGUACCUGAAGGUGAUCCUAGAGCACAAAAGGCGUUUAUUGGCCCAAAUGUGUGGCCUGCCGCAGGUAAUUUUUGGAAAUAACUAUGUUGAUGUGAAUGAAAAUACAUCGAAAAGCGUUAGGCCUAAAGUUGGUAAGAAUAUGGCCUCUUACUAAUAGUACAGGUUUUACUAUUUAGAUCUAACUAACUGGUUUUGGACUUUUUUGGUCCAUGAUUUACAGAUACAUUGCCUGGUUGGAGAGAAACAAUGGAAAGAUACCAUCAAGAAGCGCUGUAAGUUAUUAUUACCUCUACAAGAUAGAAUCAGAAGUGAAGAUUCUAUUUUAUGGUUUUAGAUAUAAUAUGACUUAUACUAGGUUAAGAACUAGAUUUGUGACCUUUGGUUGAAGUAUUUCCAUGCUGCAUCUUAUUCAAAAGCACGUGUCACUUUAUUUAUUUAUAAAGUGACAUUAUAAAGUCUGUUUAAACAUAAGGGGUCCUUCUAGGUAUUUUUAUUUAUUGAGUCAUCCGAUAGGAUCAUAACAAUGUCUCUCCUGUAUGCCAUUAAAGGAAACAAGUUGUAUUAGGGAAGAAUGCUAGUCACCAAAAAUUGCAGAUCAUCAGUAGACAAUUACGUGAAAUACAAUGUGCCGUUUUAUGCUAGAUUUUAUGAUUGAUUUUAACAGCUUUGUUUAUGAACUGGAAUAUGAUCUUUCUAUGCUAUUACAGAGCAGUGGCAAGAGCAGUGGCAAGGCUCAUGUCCUUAGCAUUCAAUUUAAGGAGUGAUUUCUUUGAUCAACCCGUAUUGCUUGGUGAUUCAAUUGGAACCCUGCGCCUGCUUCGUUAUGAAGGUGAGGGUUUAUUGUUGGAUGGAUUCCGGUAGAUAAACAGGAUGGGAAAUCAUUGUUCGUAAUAUUAUAAUUUUCAAUCUUAGGUCAUGUCUCUGAUUGCAUCAAGGGAAUAUAUGGAGCUGGUGCUCAUACUGAUUUUGGCUUUAUCACCCUCCUGACAACAGACGAUGUUGUUGCUCUACAGGUAAAAGAAUAAUGCUCAACUGAAGUUACUUGGCCUUAUUAUCUUAAUAUUCUCCGCUAAUUGGCCCUGCUAGUUUCCUAUGCCUUGUUUACUUACAUUUACCUAUUCUAGAUAUGUAAGGAUAAGGAUGCUGAACCAAAUGUAUGGGAAUAUGUGGCACCAUUAAAAGGGUAAGUUUUAUGAUCUUUAUAAAUUUCACUUUCACUGUUGUGGAAAUGUUUGAAUAGUUUGCAGGUCCUUGAGAAAAAAAUCUUUAUAGAACAGGACAAUUUCUAUUGAUAUUUUACACUAACAUGCAUUCUCAAAAGUCUUAUAUUUCAUGAUGUAAGUUAUUGUGCUUUCUGCUAUCUUAUUUGCUUAUCAUUCCAGGGCUUUCAUAGUAAAUAUUGGUGAUAUGCUUGAGCGUUGGAGCAACAAUAUAUUCAGGUAACAUUAAAUUGAUUAUCUAUCAAGAUGUACCCAAACUGAUUGGGUAUUCAUGUCUAUUAUUCAGACAAAAAUUUUAGUGUGAACUGAUAAUCGCGAUUAUUGGGAAAACAGUACAGUAAGGGGGCAUUUCGAAAAUUGAACUCGGGACCUCUCGCACCCUAAGCGAGAAUCAUACAACUAGAACAGAUGCCCAUUUUGAGAAGAUUUGAUAAAAACUGACAAGAGUGUGUAACAUUAGUUAAGUCAUGAACUUUCACUGACGAAUAAUUAAUUCUUCGAAGACUAACCAGGGACUAAUAUUAUUGUUUAUUGGCUCGGGUUCUCAAAAUUAAAUAGUUUUUCUUAUAUUACUUUCCUUAUGAAUAUUAUUGGCAAAAAUUGUAUAUAAACUUAAUCGUGUAUCCGUGUGUGAUACUGAUACAUUUACUACUCUGGCGGAGAUUGCUGAUAGGAUUCUCAAUGGGAAAGGGAAAAUGGAUAGCCCCGAAUGGGGUAGUCCCUCCCGCUAUAACGGGGCAUGGUGCCGGUAUGGUAUACUUUGAUGGCUUUAUUACUGACGAUGAAACUAUGCAGAACUAAAAUAAAACCAGCAUAAUAGAUUUUUGUAUCACUUUAUUAUUCCCUGUUAUUUGGUUAUGGCAUACUCAUAAAGGUCUUGUUUGGUCGGAAGAAGUGGAAUGGGACAGAAAUAAAGUUUAUCUGAAAUAUUUAUUUGGACUUUUUUUGUUUUGAAACAAUAUUUAUUUGGACUUCCUUACAUUUCGGUCCAUCCUCCACAACACUAAAACUAAAACCUCUGUGAUCUCUGUUUAUAUGUAUAUAUAAUGUGCAGGUCGACUUUACACCGCGUGUUAAGGACUAAACAAGAUCGAUAUUCUGUAAGUACUUUGUAGAGUUCUUAAAUGAAAUUCCU